rnacentral:rRNA from 1 species
UACGAAGGGGGCUAGCGUUGCUCGGAAUUACUGGGCGUAAAGCGCACGUAGGCGGCUUCUUAAGUCGGUGGUGAAAUCCUGGAGCUCAACUCCAGAACUGCCUUCGAUACUGGGAAGCUCGAGUCCGGGAGAGGAGAGUGGAAUUCCUGGUGUAGCGGUGAAAUGCGCAGAUAUCAGGAAGAACACCCGUGGCGAAAGCGGCUCUCUGGAACGGUACUGACGCUGAGACGCGAAAGCGUGGGGAGCGAACAGG